rnacentral:rRNA from 1 species
UUUUUGUAAAUAAUUUAAAGUCUAAUCUGCCCACUGAUAAUUUAUUAAAGGGCUGCAGUAUUUUGACUGUACAAAGGUAGCAUAAUCAUUAGUCUCUUAAUUGGUGACUUGUAUGAAAGAUUGGAUGAAAUAUAAGCUGUCUCUAAUUAAUAAUUAGAAUUUAAUUUUUUAGUUAAAAAGCUAAAAUAUAUUUAAAAGACGAGAAGACCCUAUAGAGUUUUAUAUUUUAUUUGAUUAUUAUUUAUAUGUAAAAUUUUUAAUUAAGAUAAAAUAAAAUAUUUUGUUGGGGUGAUAGAAAAAUUGAUUUAACUUUUUUUAAAAAAUAAACAUUAAUUUAUGAUUAUAUGAUCCAUUAAUAAUGAUUAAAAGAAAAAAUUACCUUAGGGAUAACAGCGUAAUUUUUUUUUUUAGUACAAAUAGGAAAAAAAGUUUGCGACCUCGAUGUUGGAUUAAGAUAAAAUUUAGACUGCAAAAGUUUAAAAUUUUGAUCUGUUCGAUCAUUAAAAUCUUACA